rnacentral:tRNA from 2 species
GGUAGUUCAGCUGGUUAGAAUACCUGCCUGUCACGCAGGGGGUCGCGGGUUCGAGUCCCGUCC